rnacentral:rRNA from 1 species
UUGGAGGGCAAGUCUGGUGCCAGCAGCCGCGGUAAUUCCAGCUCCAAUAGCGUAUAUUAAAGUUGUUGCAGUUAAAAAGCUCGUAGUUGAAUUUCGGGAUCAAAUUGUUGGUCGUGCCUCGGUACGCACUGGUAUUAUUGGUUCCUACCUACUGAAGAACCGCGAUGUCAUUAAUUUGGUGUCGUGGGGAAUCAGGACUGUUACUUUGAAAAAAUUAGAGUGUUUAAAGCAGGCUUACGCUUGAAUACAUUAGCAUGGAAUAAUGAAAUAGGACGUUUGAUUCUAUUUUGUUGGUUUCUAGGAUUGACGUAAUGAUUAAUAGGGAUAGUUGGGGGCAUUAGUAUUCAAUUGUCAGAGGUGAAAUUCUUGGAUUUAUUGAAGACUAACUACUGCGAAAGCAUUUGCCAAGGAUGUUUUCAUUAAUCAAGAACGAAAGUUAGGGGAUCGAAGACGAUCAGAUACCGUCGUAGUCUUAACCAUAAACUAUGCCGACUAGGGAUCGGAUGAUGUUAAUUUUUUAAUGACUCAUUCGGCGCCUUACGGGAAACCAAAGUGUUUGGGUUC